CAGCAGCCGCGGUAAUACGGAGGGUGCAAGCGUUAAUCGGAAUUACUGGGCGUAAAGCGCACGCAGGCGGUUUGUUAAGUCAGAUGUGAAAUCCCCGAGCUUAACUUGGGAACUGCAUUUGAAACUGGCAAGCUUGAGUCUUGUAGAGGGGGGUAGAAUUCCAGGUGUAGCGGUGAAAUGCGUAGAGAUCUGGAGGAAUACCGGUGGCGAAGGCGGCCCCCUGGACAAAGACUGGCGCUCAGGUGCGAAAGCGUGGGGAGCAAACAGGAUUAGAUACCCCUGUAGUCCCUGUCUCUUAUAA
rnacentral:rRNA from 1 species